rnacentral:rRNA from 1 species
AACGAACGCUGGCGGCAUGCCUAACACAUGCAAGUCGAGCGAAGCCUUCGGGCUUAGUGGCGCACGGGUGCGUAACACGUGGGAAUCUGCCCUUCGGUUCGGAAUAACAGUUAGAAAUGACUGCUAAUACCGGAUGAUGACGUAAGUCCAAAGAUUUAUCGCCGAAGGAUGAGCCCGCGUAGGAUUAGGUAGUUGGUAGGGUAAUGGCCUACCAAGCCGACGAUCCUUAGCUGGUCUGAGAGGAUGAUCAGCCACACUGGGACUGAGACACGGCCCAGACUCCUACGGGAGGCAGCAGUGGGGAAUAUUGGACAAUGGGCGAAAGCCUGAUCCAGCAAUGCCGCGUGAGUGAUGAAGGCCUUAGGGUUGUAAAGCUCUUUUACCAGGGAUGAUAAUGACAGUACCUGGAGAAUAAGCUCCGGCUAACUCCGUGCCAGCAGCCGCGGUAAUGUAU